UCUUCACAAUUGGAGUUUUUCUUGUGA
rnacentral:sRNA from 1 species